rnacentral:rRNA from 1 species
AGGGCACCACCAGGAGUGGAGCCUGCGGCUUAAUUUGACUCAACACGGGAAAACUCACCCGGCCCGGACACUGGAAGGAUUGACAGAUUGAGAGCUCUUUCUUGAUUCAGUGGGUGGUGGUGCAUGGCCGUUCUUAGUUGGUGGAGUGAUUUGUCUGGUUAAUUCCGAUAACGAACGAGACUCUAGCCUACUAAAUAGAUCGUCGGCUUACAAACGCCGGCGAGACUUCUUAGAGGGACAGGCGGUGAUUCAACCGCACGAAACAGAGCAAUAACAGGUCUGUGAUGCCCUUAGAUGUCCGGGGCCGCACGCGCGCUACACUGAAGUGAUCAGCGUGCUUUUUCAACCUACUCUGUCAAGAGUGGGGAACCCAAUGAACCUUCUUCGUGAUUGGGAUAGGGGAUUGUAAUUAUUCCCCUUGAACGAGGAAUUCCCAGUAAGCGCGAGUCAUAAGCUCGCGUUGAUUACGUCCCUGCCCUCUGUACACACCGCCCGUCGCUACUACCGAUUGAAUGUUUU